rnacentral:miRNA from 1 species
GACACCGCCUGAGCUGGGCUGGGCUGGGCUGGGCUGCGGGUCGGGUAAUCGAGGC